rnacentral:rRNA from 1 species
GGUGGCGAUGGCGGGGAGGGUACGCCCGGUCCCAUUCCGAACCCGGUAGCUAAGUUCCCCAGCGCUGAUGGUACUGCACUCGGUGGGGUGUGGGAGAGUAGGACACCGCC